AAAAAAAAAAAAAGGGAAAAAAGUGUAGGAAGUGCGCUCUCAGGGAGAACUGAAGAGAAAACUGCACUGGAAAUCCUACAAGAGAAAGAGGAAUGCUGUGGACCUGUGUGGAGGAUGCAGAGGUGCAGCACAAACAUGAAUGACUGCAGCCGCAAAGAACCAGAGCAGGAGGUAUCUUGGCUGCGACUCGGAGAUGGAGGAUGGUUUCCAAGAAGUAGAAUUCAUUCCUGCUUCUGAGUCAAUGGAUAUAAAUAUGUCCAAGACCUGAAGAAAGAUUUGAACAUUUACAAGAGGGUACAAUAAAAGUGUUGGGAAGAAGCAGGAGCAGCAAUAUUUAGCAGUGAACAGUUCAAGGCAAAUUUCUACUGAUGGUGAUGAGUUGAAGACACCUGUGUCUACUGUACUUUAGAAAUCUUUACUUAAUAUAUACUAAAUUGAUCUUCUGUAUAUAAAGAUAAUUGAAAAUGAAUCUUGAUGUGAAUGGAAUGGGAGAGGGAGCGGGAGAUGGGAGGGU